CACCAAGACUACGAUGGAUAGGGGUUCUGAGAGGAAGGUCCCCCACAUUGGAACUGAGACACGGUCCAAACUCCUACGGGAGGCAGCAGUGAGGAAUAUUGGUCAAUGGACGCGAGUCUGAACCAGCCAAGUAGCGUGAAGGAUGACUGCCCUAUGAGUUGUAAACUUCUUUUAUAUGGGAAUAAAGUUGUCCACGUGUGGAUUUUUGUAUGUACCAUAUGAAUAAGGAUCGGCUAACUCCGUGCCAGCAGCCGCGGUAAUACGGAGGAUCCGAGCGUUAUCCGGAUUUAUUGGGUUUAAAGGGAGCGUAGGCGGAUUGUUAAGUCAGUUGUGAAAGUUUGCGGCUCAACCGUAAAAUUGCAGUUGAUACUGGCAGUCUUGAGUGCAGUAGAGGUGGGCGGAAUUCGUGGUGUAGCGGUGAAAUGCUUAGAUAUCACGAAGAACUCCGAUUGCGAAGGCAGCUCACUGGAGUGUAACUGACGCUGAUGCUCGAAAGUGUGGGUAUCAAACAGGAUUAGAUACCCUGGUAGUCCACACAGUAAACGAUGAAUACUCGCUGUUUGCGAUAUACAGUAAGCGGCCAAGCGAAAGCAUUAAGUAUUCCACCUGGGGAGUACGCCGGCAACGGUGAAACUCAAAGGAAUUGACGGGGGCCCGCACAAGCGGAGGAACAUGUGGUUUAAUUCGAUGAUACGCGAGGAACCUUACCCGGGCUUAAAUUGCAAAUGAAUUAUGGGGAAACCCAUAGGCCGUAAGGCAUUUGUGAAGGUGCUGCAUGGUUGUCGUCAGCUCGUGCCGUGAGGUGUCGGCUUAAGUGCCAUAACGAGCGCAACCCUUAUCUUCAGUUACUAACAGGUCAUGCUGAGGACUCUGGAGAGACUGCCGUCGUAAGAUGUGAGGAAGGUGGGGAUGACGUCAAAUCAGCACGGCCCUUACGUCCGGGGCUACACACGUGUUACAAUGGGGGGUACAGAAGGCCGCUACCUGGUGACAGGAUGCCAAUCCCAAAAACCUCUCUCAGUUCGGAUCGAAGUCUGCAACCCGACUUCGUGAAGCUGGAUUCGCUAGUAAUCGCGCAUCAGCCAUGGCGCGGUGAAUACGUUCCCGGGCCUUGUACACACCGCCCGUCAAGCCAUGAAAGCCGGGGGUACCUGAAGUACGUAACCGCAAGGAGCGUCCUAGGGUAAAACUGGUAAUUGGGGCUAAGUCGUAACAAGGUA
rnacentral:rRNA from 1 species